rnacentral:rRNA from 1 species
GAUGAACGCUAGCUACAGGCUUAACACAUGCAAGUCGAGGGGUAACGAGAGGAAAGCUUGCUUUCCUUGUCGACGACCGGCGCACGGGUGAGUAACGCGUAUCCAACCUGCCCCCAACUAAGGAAUAACCUUGCGAAAGUAAGACUAAUACCUUAUAAUUUCCUCAGAUGACAUCUGACGAGGAAUAAAGAUUUAUCGGUUGUGGAUGGGGAUGCGUCUGAUUAGCUUGUUGGCGGGGUAACGGCCCACCAAGGCAACGAUCAGUAGGGGUACUGAGAGGAAGGUCCCCCACAUUGGAACUGAGCCACGGUCCAAACUCCUACGGGAGGCAGCAGUGAGGAAUAUAGGUCAAUGGGCGAAAGCCUGAACCAGCCAAGUAGCGUGCAGGAUGACGGCCCUAUGGGUUGUAAACUGCUUUUAUACAGGAAUAAAGUUAGCCACGUGUGGUUAUUUGUAGGUACUGUAUGAAUAAGGACCGGCUAAUUCCGUGCCAGCAGCCGCCGCCG